GGUCCGGUGGUGUAGUUGGUUAUCACACUCGCUUCACACGGAGCCGCGAGAGGUCAUGAGUUCGAGCCUCGUCCGGAUCA
rnacentral:tRNA from 1 species